UUUUGAAAUGGUCUUGGAUGUGGUGUUUGGGAGGGGACCCAAAUGUCUGGCAGGAACUUUUCAGUCUCUGGAAUUGGAGGGACCACCAGACUUCCAGCUGCAGGGGAUGGUCUGCCCAGUAACAGAGACUCAUUGUUCUGGUUUGAGGCUUCUGCUACACCAUCAAUACUAGAUCCUCACCAGGACUCCUCUCAGAUAUCCUGAUGUGGCCCUGUGUCAUGGAGAUCAUGGCUUUGGAUCUGUAGGAUCAGCCCCUUCACACACUCCAGCAGUUCAUCGAUAGGCAUAUAGAAAUCUGGGGAUCCUGCUGGUGGCCUGUGGCCCAGGAGGACAGAGCACUCCCAAGAAGACUCCUACUGGGCAUCAUGUAGCGAGGGUUCGGGUCACAACACUCCUCAGAUGACCUCAGAUACCCAGAGGCCCCGAGUGCCACUAAGAUGAGCAAGUAAGUGGUGGAGAGAUGGAAGAGAAAGAGAAGCAGAAGUGUGUGAGCUGGUAGUGAGGAACAGCCUGAUGUGAGUAGCCAGAAAUGCCAUCUGACGCUGUGGUGAGGUCCUUGGCCAUGCUGCUGCUGAGAGCCAUGUCUGUGUCCAUGGCCCUGCAGCAGCAAAGAUCAUGCAACAUCCUGGUUGGGACUGUCACCUGGGGUUAUGUUGAUGUUUGCGCAUCCCUAUGUGCAGAGCUUGCCCCACCCCUCACCAACUGUAGUACUCAGGAGAAUGGGCCAGCACUUCUCCUGUGUAGAGCUGAGCUACGUUGCAGGGAGAAUUGGCCCCUCCCCUCAUUAGGUGUAUGAUGGUAUGGUUGCAAGAAAUGCCCUCCUCCUUCUUACCUCUUGCUACCUCCAUUCCUUGGAAAGAGAGCUGGCCCCGCCCCUAGCCUGAGCAUUGUGAGAGAGUUGCCCUUCUCUUCUCAGUAGAGAGAGUUUUGAGGUCUCCUCCUUAUGUUCUGCCCAGUAUGGAAGACAGCCUCCUCUUGGCUGCCUGCAGAAGAUGUAGAACUCUCAGCUUCUUCUCCAGCACCAUUUCUACCUGGAUGCUGCCAUGCUCCCUGUCAUGGUAAUUAUGGACUGAAUCUUUGAAACUGUAAGCCAGCCCCAAUUAAAUGUUGUCCUUUAUAAAA
rnacentral:lncRNA from 1 species